CAACUUUCAGCAAUGGAUCUCUUGGCUCUCGCAUCGAUGAAGAACGCAGCGAAUUGCGAUAUGUAAUGUGAAUUGCAGAUCUACAGUGAAUCAUCGAAUCUUUGAACGCACAUUGCGCUCCUUGGUGUUCCGAGGAGCAUGCCUGUUUGAGUGUCAGUAAAUUCU
rnacentral:rRNA from 1 species